UCAAGAUUGGCAAAUUUGCAUCAACAUCACCAAGACUGCUUUAACCGCUUUAACGAAGCAGAAAGUGAAUUAAGACAAAAGACUUGCCCACAAAAAUCAAAGCAUUCGUUCAUCACCUGCAACAGCAACACUCACAUCAUCUCCAUCCUGUCCUGAGCAACCUACAUCAUGUGCAACUGCAACACUCAUGACAUCUUCAUACUCUCCUGAGCAGCGUUUAUCACCUGCAACAGCAACACUCAAAACAUUCUGUUCAGCAAAGAGUCUAUAAUGAAUUCUGUUUUGAUUCUCCUUUUACUCUUACUUCAUAAAAACAUUUUACUACAUGAAAAAAAAAAAAAAAGUUAACGGUACAAUAUUUCCAUUGUGUUUUAUUUGUUCUGGUCAGUGUAUACAUAAUGCAACUUUGAAAAUAGGUAAUUACUGAUUUAUAUUUAACCCAUUUAAUUAACUUUUUAUAGUUUUUUUGUGAUUGGCUAAAACAUUCAUUUAGAUUUGGAAGUUUUGAGUGAUUAAGGCAGACAUUUUAAAUAUGCAAGCUUUUAUUGAGCAAUGUUGUUCUAUAGAUUUUAGAUAUUUCUUUAGGUAGUUUUGCCCAGAUUAGUUUUGAAUUAGGAAACUCAAGGUAUCAGCACCAAAUUAUCUACUAAUGAACGGGUCUGGAUUGGAUCCGGAUAAGCUACUUCAUCAAUGGGUUCGGGUCUAGAUUGGAUCCGGGCCGGAUGAGCUAGUCUAUCAGCGGGUCUGGAUCGGAUCUGCGCCGGAUGAGCUACUCUAUCAGCGGGUCUGGAUUGGAUCCGAGCUGGAUGAGCUACUCUAUUAAUGGGUCCGGAUCGGUUCCGGAUGAAGAGCUUUAUUAGCGGAUACGGGUAACGUCUGAAAUGGGUCCGGAACGGAUACAGAAUUCUUAUCCGUUCCGGAUCCGUUGCGCUGUGCAAGUAGACUCCAGUACAGACCCAUUUGCGGACCCGUUUCUGUUGCGGAUCAUGUAAUACCUCCGGCGCGGAUCUGUUCCGGAGUCAUUUUGAUAUCUGGAAAACCUUUAGGCAGCAGUAAGCCUCACAAAUACUUAAAAUUGAUUGACUUAAACUGCUUGAACUUUAUUAAAACUGUUAGCACUAAUAUAUUGUGUUAACUACACUUUGUUCAUUUUGUGCUUUUGUUCCUUUGUUUAUUGGUCUUAAAGAUAAGCCUGCUGUGAAAAAAUAGUUUCUCUGAGAUUAUGUGUUAUGUAAUCUUGUUAAAAUUUAUUUCUUAAAAUAAAAGUAUAGAAAAAAGUAUCGUUCGAAACCGGUAUCGAAUUCAGGGUAUCGGUAUCGAACACUUUAGAACAAUACACAGCCCUAGUCAAGUGAUGUGAUUUUGCAGGUCAGAGUUCACCAAGCUUGAACUUUGCAACGCAGUGAACUGCGAAACUUGAUGCACAAACUUGGUUUCCGGUCUGACGCAUUCACGUGCGUAUGAAUGGAAGUCUAUGGGGGGAAAAGUCCAGUGUGACCGCAGCUUAAGUGCAAGUGAAUAGUUUCUCUCCAGUGUGGCUCACCAUGUGUAAAUUAAAGGACGAUGAUCGGCUGAAACUCUUCCCACACUGAGGGCAUGUGAAUGGUUUCUCUCCAGUGUGGAUACUCAUGUGUCUAUUAAAGUUUGAUGAUUGGCUGAAACUCUUCC
ensembl:lincRNA